rnacentral:lncRNA from 1 species
UUAUUCUUUCCGCCUUCUGCAUCUGCUUUAAGGAGCUUUGUAGAUACGAUUGGCUGUGGAUUUGGGCCGGAUCAGGGCUGUUUCUGCAAUCUAUUUCCCUAAUCCCACUUUAAUUUUAUUCAUCUUUUUUUUUAGACUAUUAAAGAUAAUUUAAUUGAUCUCACCUCUUAUUUGGUUUGGAUACGUGAAAUCCCAUCAAGUUAAAGGAUCACGAGGAAGUCUCUCCCUUAAGGUUCAUGGAGACUCAAGACAAACAAGGUGUUGCUGGUACGAAUGCACACGUCUGCAAAUCUCAGGAAGCUCGGUGUCUGAUGAGGCAUUGAUCCUUACACCGAAUGGACAUGAGACUACGGAAACGGCUGCCACAGGGAAAAGGUAUGUACGGAGCUGCAGCCACACAGAUGUCAAGUUGCUUGAUUCUGCCAAGAGGCCUGCAAAAGCUCUGAAAAGGGGGA